rnacentral:rRNA from 1 species
GUUUUAAGUACGUAUUAAUAAUGAUAAUAUGUAUAAAAGUCUUGACCAAUUACGUGCCAGCAGUCGCGGUAAUACGUAGGAGACGAGCAUUAUUCAUAUUAAAUAGGUUUAAAGGGUACCCAAACGGUCAAAAUACCUGAAAUAUAGGAGUACUUGACUAGAGUUAUAUGUAAGAAGACCGUACUUGAGGUGGAGAGAUUAUAUUUUAUGAUACCAAAAGGACUGAUAACGGCGAAGGCUGUCUUUUAUGUAAUAACUGACGUUGAAGGACGAAGGCAUAGAUAACUAACAGGAUUCGUUACCCUAGUAGUCUUUGCAGGCAAUGAUGAAUGCCAUUAACUAGAUACUAAUUUUAGUUAUAUAAAUGAAAAUGAAAGCAUUUCACCUCAAGAGUAAUGUGGCAACG